GGCUACUGGGCUGCGGAGACCAGAGCCCGGCUCCACUGAAGAAACCCGCCGGCUGCUGGGGCAGGGCGGCGAAAGGUCAGUCGGCCGAGAGGAGUCCGUGGAGCCACCGUUUCAUAGCCUCAGGGAAAGGAUCGGGCGUGCUCACGAGCCCUCUAACCCAUGGCUUAAACACCCGCUUCCUAAGCCUGGGUUCUUAUGCCUUUGUUUGAAAAACAUGGUUCCCUGUGAAAUUUUACAUGUAGAAGAAAGCUUCACACUACGAGAGCUCUCAGGAUAUAAUUAUUUCAGACAGAUACUGGGAACAUAAGAUGGCUUAUCAAUCUAAGAUGGCCUUCCUGUCCUUCGGAUUGAACUGAAACCAUCCCUGAUUCCAGGGAUAGGUAGAUGAUCCAGGUUUGGACAAUCAAAAUAUUGAACCACCCUGGACCUACAAGUGUUUCUGGGAUGGGAACAUGCAAACGUUGGUCCAAAUUGUUGUUCUAGGCAGCCCAGUACAUUUCUCCAAUGCCUGAUGGAAUGAUAGGGUAUGCAUAAAUGUUCAUGUGGGCUCUGGAGUAUACCAGGAACUGAAGUAAGGUACAUGGACGUCUUGAAUAUUGUAACUGAGAUGGGCAAGCCUACACCUUUGCAAAUAAAGGAGGAUUGGGAAAGAUUAAGAUCCUGUUAAACGUCAGUGUUACUAUUUAGCCUUUGAUAUCUCCAGUAAAGGCAACUUCUUUCUGGACCCAGAAAUAAAGCUUUACAUUAGCAGCUUCCAUAACACCAAUAACAUGAAUGACCAUCUACUGAGCAAUUGCAGUGCACCAGGAUUAUGGCUUAUGAGCACUUUAUGUUUAUUAUCUCACAACUCACUGAGUUAGAUACUCUCCACAACCCAGUGAGAAUGAUUGAGUCUCAGAAUUGUUCUUUAAUCCUCAGUAUUUCCAUUAAGAAGAGCUUCUAUCAAGUGCUUCAAAAGUACCCAAUGUGAAGGAGUAAUAAUGACUCCCUGCUGCCUCUCAAGCACUGUGAAAAAUCACUUUCUCUUGUUGUAUUCUUGGAGCCCCUGCUAAUUCAUUAUUGAAAAAUACCUGCUGCCUGCAUUUGGCCUUAUGUUGUCAUUUACUUGGUACUUCCUAAGCGUGGCUACUCCAAUGAAGCUUUAGUAUAUGUACUGAAAGAAGAUCCUCUCAUACUGCCACAGCCAAGAGAUAAGGUUGUAAAUCUUUAUUGGGAGAAGCCGUCAAGGACAGUUCUGUGAAAUGAAAGGAUCUCUGGAUCACCACAAAGUCUGGCUCAGUGACUAUGGCUUUGCAAACACUAAACAUUCCUGUCUCAAGUCCUGUAGAUGGCUUGAAAUAGUAUACAUAAGCAUGCCUUAUAAACAUCUUCAGUCUUUAUCAACUCUUUGGAGAUUCAGCCAUUCUUUUUUGUACUUUAGGGAAUUAAAUCAUUUUAUAAUGUAUAAAUCUGAGCAUGGCCGAUGGCAGAAGAAAUUUUGUCAUACGUUUUUAAAGAAAUAAAAAUGUAUUAUGUUUUAAAAU
rnacentral:lncRNA from 1 species